UACGAAGGGGGCUAGCGUUGCUCGGAAUUACUGGGCGUAAAGCGUGCGUAGGUGGUUUGUUAAGUCUGCUGUGAAAGCCCCGGGCUCAACCUGGGAAUGGCAGUGGAUACUGGCAAGCUAGAGUGCGGUAGAGGGGUGUGGAAUUCCCGGUGUAGCGGUGAAAUGCGUAGAUAUCGUUUGGAACGCCAAUGGUGAAAGCAGGUUGCUGGGGGUGUGCUGACGCUGAGACACGAAAGCCAGGGGAGCAAACGGG
rnacentral:rRNA from 1 species